AAACUUCUCUCUUAACCCCAACCUCAAUCCCUCGUGUCCAAGAAAUUCUGAAUAUAAAUUUUGUGUCACGUCACUCGUAAGUCCAAGACACACGUUAAGAAGAAUUCGUGCAUUCAGGUCUUCCAAAGUGGGUCCAUGUGGUACUGGACCACUGGUACCUGAAUGCAAUGAGGUCCCUCUUCGCGUGUCUUUUGUAGACCGGUGAUGCGGAACAGAAUUCCUUACCCAAGAAUCUCCGGUCACAUCCCAUAAACUCAAAGACCAAAUAAAUAAAUAAAAAAUGAACAAAACCAUAGUAAACAAAGUUAACAAGAAGCUCAAUUUUCAGAAAAUGAGGGAUCCGGAGCGAUCAGACUGAGCUUCGGAGCAGUACCCAAACCCCAGCUGAAACCCCAAGUGGGUACUGCUCCAUUUUCCCUUGGCUUUCGAGCUCCCCCGCCCGCCAUGGGAGCCAAGAACUUGACCAAUUCCUUAAAUAUCUUGAUCUUGAUCUGUCCCCUCCUGGGAGGGAGCCUUCGAUUUCGGCUGUGCUUGGACUUGGAACCUGGGAUUUCCAGUUUUUUCGAAUUCGACAUGAUGAAUCUGAAGGGUGAGGACAAGAGAAGAAGAACAGAGGAAAACAGAGUGUUUAUUUGGAGGCUUUUUCUCUCUCUAGAGUCUAGAGAGAGGGGAUGAGCAAAAAGAGAAUUUUCUUGGACGGAAAAGAAAGAGAGUGAAUUGUUGUAACAAAGUGAAUGCGCUUUGGGGAUUUUGAGGGGAUGGUUUUAUAGAGGCAUUUUGCAUUUUGUUGCACAAGACUCAGCUUGCUGACUUAGAGCAUCUAGAGGCACUUUGCAUUUGUUGCAUAAGACUUAGCUUCCUCACUAAGACAUUCUAGAAGCAUAUGUGGAGUCUGUAGAUAAAACUGCGCAAGUACAUAAAACUCCGCAAUCAAGCUAUUUUUCGUAUGCCGGAAAAGGACAUAUUCUUUUUAAAUUUUACGUUGGUAGCCUAUUUGAAGAAAACAAAGAGUUCACAAGAGUGACUUUUGUUGAUGGAGCCGUUUUGAACUAGAUUGUUUGUUCAAUGUUUAACGUAUGAUGUAUGCGUUUUUAUUUGAGUUUUAAAAAAAAUUCUAUCGUUUGAAUAAAAAAAAAUGUAAAAGUUGCAUGUUUUACCACUAGAGUUUGCGAUUCUUGUCAAAAGAUGAAUUUUUUAUAUAAUAAAAUUUGUUCUUUGACAAUAUAUAUAUAUAUAUAUAUAUAUAUAUAUAUAUAUAUAUAUAUAUAUAUAUAUAUAUAUAUUAAAAUUUGUUGGGCGUUUAAAUAUAAAGAUAGAAAAUCUUCCUUUACCUCGUUUCUCUUUUAUUGUUGGAGUCUUAACUAUCACCACAUUAAUAAAGGUUCAUUUUGUCACCUAAAUGUCAAACGAAUUAAAAUAUCAUAUCGUAGGAUUGAAGAGAGAAGGGGGGGGGGGCACUCUUAUUUAUUUAUUUUUUAACAUAAAUAUUAUUGAUUCAAAAUAUAAAUGGUUCUGAUCAUAAAUCAUAAGCACAAAACUCUGUGAUUAAAACACUAAGAGUUUUGAGUAGGAGCUCCUACUUAUCUUUGAGUAGCCAAAUUUUGUUCUUUAUAUAACUCUUUGGACGUUCUAUAUUUGGUUGUAUAAAUAUCUUUUGUCAAUGUACUAGAUUUCUGACUAGUGGUAAAUGACGAAUUAUGAGGCUUCCUUAAAACAAAAAACCGGAGGUCUCGGGUUCGAAACCCGCUGCUGGUGUGGAAGCUAGACUUGUGGCCAGGGGAGAUUGAAAUGUCUAUGUGAGUCUUCCCGACCCCCGAAAAAAAUCGAUAAUCAUGGCUUGCCACUAGUUGUUCUCAUUUUUAAAGGAAAAAAAAAUGUACGAGACUUGUGAGGGAAAUGUCAAUACACACAUGGGAUUAAUUAGUCAAUCCUUCACACUAUUAUAUAACGUUGGACUUUAAUUGAGUUUCGGAUAACAAUAACGUUGGACUUCAAUUGAAUUUAUUCCUCCCACAUCAUUAUUUUCUACUCCUGCAUAUACCGCAACGUGCAUGUUCCAUGUACACAAGUCCUUUUAGGGGGAGACUAAUUUGUUUGGGAACAAUUACAAUUGGCCGUCUAAUUUUGAUUUGUAUUGUGUCACAUGAUUGAUUGUCACUCAUUUACAACGUAAUUAGUUGUCACUAACACACGCAUGAUCGAUUGUCCUUACAAGCAAAACAACAUGGCUAGAUCCCAUAACUCCCUAAUAUAUGGAAGAAUGGGAUCCCUAUUCAACUUCAUGUGAUGCAAGCAUAUUGUGAUCCCUCCUCCCUGUGAUGUUUUUUCUUUUCAUUUACAAGAAACGAUAGUGGUAUUUCAUUGAUCAUCAUAAACAAAUACAAGGGUGCUAAUUGGGUACAUUGCUCUAGUGACCAAUACAUUGAUCUGGAGUGAAUUUGCACAAACAAGCGAUUAAUUAAAACCCCUACACGACUACUACAAUCAAAGUGCACCAAUACAAAUUUGUCACAAAAACGAUACGCAACAAACCAAUACUAGUGUAGUGGCUCACUGCAUGACAUAUGCGACACAUAAGCAUCGAUCAUUCCCUAAUUUUCUUUCAGAAGGAUAAUGAAAGUGACAAAUAAUUAAAGAGAGAGUUGCUUAUUCUAAUCUGAUGGUUAGCAUUAGCUAAUAAGUCGUUUGAUUUGUUUGUUUAAUCAAAUGAAAUUUCAACCCGUAUUACAAAAGCCUUGGUGUUAAGACAAAUUCUUCAUUCGCAUAAAGAUUUAGAACGUAGUAGUACACAUCGAAGGAGACUCGAAGACCGAAAAGACUAGCAGUACAACAUCAUGUCCAGAUUCAUUGCCGGAUUCAGUCAAAUUCUUAAAGAAGAUAAUAUCUUUUAAAAAAAUGACAUUACAAAUACAUAUCAUGAAGAACUCAAUUCUAAAAGGGUAAUUGCAAACUAGAUUUAAAAUAUUGCAAUGAAGUAUCAGCAAAUCACUGUCACGAUCCUAGAACACCAAGUGAAGAAGAUUACGCAAAUCAAACAGCUCCACCAUUCAAACAUAAAUUCACAGGAGAUGUAGCACACCGAAACAAAGUAAAUGGAAAGGAAGAGAGGAGAAAUACCAAAAAUGAUUGUCAAGAUGAUUUCCACCAACUCCAACAAAGCCAAAACAAGGAGGCGACAGAUAAUUUUUCUCUGAUUUUUGCUUCAGACGUCUAGGGUUUUUAUGUAUGUUUUUUGUUUGGUAAAUGAGCCUAGGAAAAAAAGAUAAGAAACAAGCUAAGCAAUUGUUAACACUUGAGUUUUAUCCAUAUACCUUAAUUUAUAUCACCAAGCAUCAUUAAGCACCCUUUGGAAUUUAGAGGGGCAAUUAAUGUGAAGUGUGAACCGAAACAAACAUUUCCAAACGACUUCAAAUUUUAGCUUUGCCUAUAUUAGCAGCCUAAUUUGUCUUCAUACUUUCUCAAUCUUUGUCGCACACCAAUUAGACACGUAGUCCCAAAGCCAUUGACUAAUCACGAAUUGAAUACAAGUUCUUUAGACGAAAAUCCAUUGACUAAUCAAUCACUUGAAUACAAUUUCUUCUUAAUCGUUGCCUAAAAAGACAAUGUUUUAAUCUAAGAUAAUUCCUUAAUUACAAUCCGUCAAAUGGUGACGGGUGACACCCUUGAUGACUCGUUCGGUCUCGAUGAGUCAUAUGCCAUUUGUAAGAUUUGUGAGACACAUGGCGCAUGCAUGCCACUUAAGUCGUGAAUAUCAAAAUUUAAUGUGUUGGUGAGUAUUCAUAGCACCGAAAUUUACAUGUCUACACUAAACUUUGAGCUUUUUCAAGUAUCUAAUAAUUUAACAAACAUUUUUUUGUGCCUACAACCAUCUUUUCAUCUUUCCCUACAAAAAAAUUUGGAAUAAAUGAUUAGAAAGCGACCACCAAGACAUAACUAGUUGGAUAAUUGUGUACCAAUAAGAUCCCAUUGAUUUCCUCAAUUAACUUAGAAAGUUUCCAAAUUAUACUAAUCUUGUUGUUAAUCACCUUAUCCUAAAACGCGCUAAAAUUCCCGCAUACAUAGAAUAAAAGGAAAAUAAGUUCCAACCAAAUCAAAUUCAUUGAACACAAGAACUAGCAACUACCAAAUACCAACUAGUCAAAGUACAUGAGACUUAGAUUCCUCUAAUCUUUAUCCGUGUGCUGAGUGGGAGUUGGAAAUGAAUGUAAGUAUUGAAGUUACUUUGCACGAUGUGCAUCAAAAUUGGAGUGGUUCGAGUUCCUUUAUGUGCAAUUGUAAUGAAGUGGCUCACUUAAUAAUUUUCUUUGUCACUUUUUAAUUUUCUCGGUCUAGAUUUGAACGUUUUUAUUAAAAUUUAAUAAAUUCAUAGUAUUGGCCCCAAAAUGUAUAUUAAGAUUGUUAGGGUUUUUUUGAAAGAAACAAAAAUUAAGAAAGUUAAAUAAACAAGGGGCUUUUAGCAUUAAACCCCCAAAAGACAAACACUUUUUCGCAAUCGAUCCCUGUUUAUAAGGAAAUGAUUUCAGCAUAUUAUUUUUAACUUUCUGCAUAUAAUGUUUAGUUUUGACCUUUGAUCAUUCAAUUUAACAUUGAAAAUAAAAAGGGGCGGGCAAUAAGAGAAAAGUUGAGUCUUGAAGGCGCUUUCCCUAAUAUUAUAUAUAUUUAAUCCCUCCAUUUGUUUGGGCAUUUAACAAUAAUCCUUCAAUUUAAGAACCAAAAAUUAUUUAUAAUCACUAUUUUAGGCUUAAAAAGACGGAAUUAUUGUGGUAGGUGCAUUAACUAUAUCUUUAACAAUUUUAGGAUAAGGAAAAUUAGAGCAUCAUCAAUCACCCAGAACACAAGCCGGUAAAUUACAUAUUAUAAUAUAAGUGAUAAUAUGAAAUAUUUUUGCAUUGUAUCAUCAUUUAUAUUAUAACACAUAGUGUAAUGUCUUGUGUUUUGUGUACGUUGAAAAAUGUCCGAAUACGACCGAUCAAAGGUACCAAAAGCUGCUUUGUACCCAACAAGGGGCUGUUAUUUUACUGAAAUUAAUGCUCAAAUCCAACUCCCAACAUACCAAGCAACACAGAUCUGGCGAUAAAAUUGGAAGGUAAAGUAUUUUAUUUGAACAAAAUGGGUACAUUGAAAACACAGUAAAAUUACAAAGCUGAAAAACAGCCACUUCUUGUUCUAAAUCACUGUAAUACUAAACAAAACGCUGAAGGCCUACAUCACUUCUGCAGCAAAAUCUAAAUCGCCUACGGGCACACACCAACGCAGCAAACCCACUUCCCCAAAUUUCUCUCUUAACCCCCAACCUCAAUGCCUCAUGUCCGAGAAAUUCUGAAUAUAAAUUUCGUGUCACGUCAUAUGCUCAAGACACACACUAAGAAAGAUUCGUGCAUUCAGGUCUUCCAAAGUGGGUCCAUGUGGUACUGGUACCUGAAUGCAAUGAGGUCCCUCUUCGCGUGUCUUGUGUAGACGGGUGAUGCGGAACAGAAUUCCUUCCCAUAAACUCAAAACCAAAUAAAUUAAAAAAAUUAACAAAACUAUAGUAUACAAAGUUAACAAGAAGCUCACUUUUCAGAAAAUGAGGGAUCCGGAGCGAUCAGACUGAGCUUCGGAGCAGUACCCAAACCCCAGCUGAAACCCCAAGUGGGUACUGCUCCAUUUUCCCUCGGCUUUCGAGCUCCCCCGCCGGCCAUGGGAGCCAAGAACUUGACCAAUUCCUUAAAUAUCUUGAUCUUGAUCUGUCCCCUCCUGGGAGGGAGCCUUCGAUUUCGGCCGUGCUUGGACUUGGAAC
rnacentral:lncRNA from 1 species